CGCGGUGAGCACGUGACCGGCCAUAAUGGGUGCAUGAAGAAACAAAUGCAGAUAUGAAGUCGAAAAUUUGUUAUUGAGACAAAACGUUUUGCGAUUGAUCAGUGAUUUCAUUGAUACAUCACGAGAUCGUCAGGUUUCUCGUACAUUUCAUAUGCACGCGUGCGCGCGCACGUUGUCGAUGAUUCAUCCAUAAUGAACGCACGUUUCGAUCAUUACAAGCGAUCGAUUGUGUUGAGGUUAUUUAGACGUAGCGGUUUCGUGUCACGUGCGAUCGAAACCCAAUGACCUGAGAUGCCUCAACCUUGUUCACCAAAUAUGGUCUUGCGUCAAGGUCUUUGGAGACUCACAGGCCCCGAAGUUGUGCUAUCGCGUCGAGUCACCGGACGUUCUCUUCAGCGAAUGCAACGUGCGUUUCUGUGUAAAUUAUCGUGAGUAAAACGACUCAUGUUGGAGACACAUCAUUCCGUAUGAAUAAACGAAAUUUGCAGGAAUUUAAGUAAAGUGACGAGGAGAAUAAAGGCUUUACAUUUAGUUUCCCAAUGAAGAAUUCGUGGUAGAUAUAUUAAUGCUGGUACUGAUAUUGCAUGUGGCUACGUCAUCGCUGUCUCAUAAUGCUACCAAAAUCCAUAUAAAAUGCGGCGAUAUAAAAUUCAAGAGGCUAUGAUCAACGGAACGCAUGCGAAAAGCCAAGGAUUUCGAAACGCGGUCACGGUUCCACCAUUGAACUAUAUGUGUAUCAAACAAAAAUUUAUUAUACGUGAAUGUUCACGAUGCGUUUGACCUGAAAAUGCUUAACUGGAAGUAAGGCGCUGUUAAUACCAUGUGCAUAUGUUCGAUGCCAAGGGGAGAAAACUUCAAUCUCGAAAUUUUCAAUGAUAUUCGGCCGCUGCAUCUAGCUUACUCUAAAUACAAGUUCGACACGUAAUAAUGAUAUCUCUUCAACGAUCUCUCGACGAACGGUUACUUUCUCGGAGGUACGAAAAAGCGGAUUGCUACGGUUUGGAUAACGUCGAAGGAGGCCACGGGGAGGAGGUGGAAGGGAAUCGACCCAGAAGAAAACCUGCUUCCGUCGUGACACCUGUCUACCCGUUAUAUAUACAAGCAUCUCGGCAGGAAUGCAAAAUGAUGAUGUAAGGCAAUGCACUUUAGAUGGCGUCUUGUCUCAUAUUUUAUGGUGUUUGGAGAAAUCGAUGAGAGACGUCUGUAGUGGGUACCACGCCCAAAGUGAGGGAGGGUGAAGGUGUACCGCGACGAACCCCCAUACGGAAACUCGUGGAGCAGCUCUACGGCGCUGUCACAUAUCGAAAAUAAUGUACAAAGUGGGCUAACCUUGAUUCAGAGCUAUCAGAGUUUAUAUAAAUGACUCAAUCUAACUUAA
rnacentral:lncRNA from 1 species